rnacentral:ncRNA from 2 species
CGUGCGACAGGAGAUGGCAUGCCUCCUCGAACCGCCCUCGUGGCUGAUGAUGCCUACCUUGUC